rnacentral:rRNA from 1 species
UACGGAGGUGGCAAGCGUUGUCCGGAUUUACUGGGCGUAAAGGGAGCGUAGGCGGAUACUUAAGUGGGAUGUGAAAUACCUGGGCUUAACUUGGGUGCUGCAUUCCAAACUGGGUGUCUAGAGUGUUGGAGAGGAAAGUGGAAUUCCUAGUGUAGCGGUGAAAUGCGUAGAGAUUAGGAAGAACACCAGUGGCGAAGGCGACUUUCUGGACAAUAACUGACGCUGAGGCUCGAAAGCGUGGGGAGCAAACAGGAUUAGAUACCCUGGUAGUCCACGCCGUAAGCGAUGGGUACUAGGUGUCUGUGGUAUCGACUCCUCCGGUGCCGCCGUUAACACAAUAAGUACCCCGCCUGGGGAGUACGGUCGCAAGAUUAAA